GUCACACAGACCAGCCGCCCAGACAGGCCUCAGACAAGUCAGGAUGAGGCUGGGAUUGCAGGUUCUGCUUCUGGAAGCCGACCUCCUGUAAGGCGGCCAUCACAGGGCUUGGGCCACUUACCCAGGAGGCCAACUAAGACACGGCGUCUUGGCUCGGAUUCAGCACCUCCAUCAUCCCCACCCAGGCGAAGACUUUCGGCAGUGUCACCCCAGCCACCACUGGCACUAUUGGCGAGUUCGCAGAGUGAUGAGCCCAGAUCACCUCAGUUAUCUGAGCACAACUUGAUGUCCGCCGUGGACCAGCAGGGCCCAGACCAACAGCCAUCCAUCACACUGCAACUUACAGCUGUUGACCCAAGCCUGCCA